rnacentral:lncRNA from 1 species
AAACUAAAUUACCACCAGGAACAACAGGUGGGCAGUUUCAACUCAACCCCAAAACAACAGCAAGCAGCAAAAGAGAAAUUCAAAAAGCAAGAGAUGGCACGACAAAGAUUUAGCAGGAGUCCGAGUCCCAGCCAGAACCACUCCAUCAGUCCUUGGAGGAGAAGCGGGAGCCCACAACUUUCGAGGACCCAAUUCUAUGGGAGGAGAAAGGCCCAGAUCAAUGGGAGGAGAAGGGAACAAUUUGGGAGGAAAAGGGUCCACUUCUUUGGGAGAAAGGUCCAUUACUAUGGGAGAAAGAGAGGGAGGAGAGGAGGAUAUAGAAGACUCUCUAAUAGAAGGAGGAGGAGAAGAUAGAAAACUCACCACGUCAAUAGAGCUGUUCUUACCUGGGAGUUUAAAAGCAAAAAAAAAAUCUUCAAUCCCCUUCAAAGUUGUUCAGUACACACCAAAAGAAAAAACCAAGAUUCCCACUCAAGUGUCUGAGGUCUGAGAGAAGCUGAUGGAUCCGGUACAUGCCAAAAGAAAAAACCAAGAUUCCCACUCAAGUGUCUGAGGUCUGAGAGAAACUAAUGGAUCCAAAUAGUCAAAUGCCUGCCACCUGUCAAUAAAUCCUGAAAAUUACUCGUUGUCAGAUCCACUUUCUUGCACCUAAGAAGACUUUGCUCGUCACCUAGCUUGCAUGCUUGUGCACGGCCACCUUGGAUGGACAGUUGAUACUCCUUCUCCUCCCCUUGUGCAAGUGGGAGAAAAGGACCAGAAAAAGAAAACAAUCUACAGUCAUGUUGUUGGAGACAAUACCGGCAAAAACAUUUGUAUCCAGGGCUCUCCAUCCAAGGAGGUGGAGAAUGGCGCUUUAUUUUUGUAUCUCCUCCAAUUCUUCAAUUCAGUCCUUCGAGCUUUAAGAUUAUUAGCUAAGAGCAAGACUGGAAUCAUCCUCUUUCAAAAAACAGAGGGAGGGGUUCAUGCACCAUACACCAUGAUGAGACAUCAGAGGAAAAAUCAAGAAAGAGUCAUCCUUGGAAGAGGUUGAAGUGAAGUGGCUUAGCUGGAAGUGAUGGGCUCCAGCUGUACCAAGCUAGGGGAGCAGGGCCAGAAAUAUGAGUCCCUGAAAAGGUGGUUGGCCUGUGUCACUGAGGACAACUUCUCUUUGUCAUCGGAAGAGGGAGAGAGGGAAGAAGAGCUUCCAAAACUCCAAGGAAAGCUUCUUCUGAUGGAGGAAGAGUCCUCCCCAAAGGAAUGUUAUCCUAUCAAAAAGGAAGAACAGACCUGCCCAAAAGUAUAGACAGCAGCCCAUUUUUCUCAGCCAUAAUCUGACUGACCACCAGAGCCACUGAAGAGAAAGAAAGAAUGGAUUUGUAAUGUAAGAACCAAGAAGAACCCCAUUCUGGAAAAAAAAAAAACACAACAAUAAAAAGGCUUCUCCAAGGAAUUUCAUUUCUCACCCCUCUGGUCCUACUUCUCGGUCUGGUUAGAGAGAGGUCCUUAGGGACUUGGGGAUCAGAAAUGAGCAGGUCAAGAAGAACAUUAAGACAUACCUGAU